UUACGGUCAAAUUACGCUGAAAACACCGGUUCUCGUUCGAUCACCGAAGUUAAGCAUCGUAGAGCCAGGUCAGUACUUAGAUGGGGGACCGCUUGGGAACACCUGGUACUGUAAG